GGAGUAGCAAUACUCAGAUGGCGACCGGCGCACGGGGUGAGUAACACGUAUCCAACCUGCCGCUUACUCGGGGAUAGCCUUUCGAAAGAAAGAUUAAUACCCGAUGGUAUAAAGAGUUCGCAUGUUCUCUUUAUUAAAGAAUUUCGGUAAGCGAUGGGGAUGCGUUCCAUUAGAUAGUUGGCGGGGUAACGGCCCACCAAGUCUACGAUGGAUAGGGGUUCUGAGAGGAAGGUCCCCCACAUUGGAACUGAGACACGGUCCAAACUCCUACGGGAGGCAGCAGUGAGGAAAUAUUGGUCAAUGGACGAGAGUCUGAACCAGCCAAGGUAAGCGUGAAGGAUGACUGCCCUAUGGGUUGUAAACUUCUUUUAUAAGGGAAUAAAGUGAGGGACGUGUCCCUUUUUGUAUGUACCUUAUGAAUAAGGAUCGGCUAACUCCGUGCCAGCCGCCGC
rnacentral:rRNA from 1 species